rnacentral:rRNA from 1 species
CCUACGGGCGGCAGCAGUGGGGAAUAUUGCACAAUGGGCGAAAGCCUGAUGCAGCGACGCCGCGUGAGUGAAGAAGUAUUUCGGUAUGUAAAGCUCUAUCAGCAGGGAAGAUAAUGACAGUACCUGACUAAGAAGCCCCGGCUAACUACGUGCCAGCAGCCGCGGUAAUACGUAGGGGGCAAACGUUAUCCGGAUUUAUUGGGCGUAAAGCGAGCGCAGACGGCAAUGCAAGUCUGAAGUGAAAGGCGUGGGCUCAACCCAUGAACUGCUUUGGAAACUGUAUAGCUUGAGUGUCGGAGGGGUAAGCGGAAUUCCUAGUGUAGCGGUGAAAUGCGUAGAUAUUAGGAGGAACACCGGAGGCGAAGGCGGCUUACUGGACGACAACUGACGUUGAGGCUCGAAGGCGUGGGGAGCAAACAGGAUUAGAUACCCUGGUAGUC